rnacentral:rRNA from 1 species
UACGAAGGGGGGCUAGCGUUGUUCGGAAAUUACUGGGCGUAAAGCGCACGUAGGCGGAUCGAUCAGUCAGGGGUGAAAUCCCAGGGUCAACCCUGGAACUGCCUUUGAUACUGUCGAUCUGGAGUAUGGAAGAGGUGAGUGGAAUUCCGAGUGUAGAGGUGAAAUUCGUAGAUAUUCGGAGGAACACCAGUGGCGAAGGCGGCUCACUGGUCCAUUCUGACGCUGAGGUGCGAAAGCGUGGGGAGC